rnacentral:rRNA from 1 species
CCCUUAGAUGUUCGGGGCCGCACGCGCGCUACACUGAAGGUAGCAGAGGGUGUGAUCGCUCCCGCCCCGAAGCGGGGCGGGUAAACCGUUGAACUACCUUCGUGGCUUGGGACCGGGGCUUGGAACUGUUGCCCGCGAACGAGGAAUUCCCAGUAAGCGCGAGUCAUAAGCUGGCGUUGAUUACGUCCCUGCCCUUUGUACACACCGCCCGUCGCUCCUACCGAUUGAAUGGUCCGGUGAAGCGUUCGGACCGUGGCCUUUGGACGGUUCGCCGUCUGUUGGCUGCGGGAAGUUCGUUAAACCUUAUCAUUUAGAGGAAGGAGAAGUCGUAACA